UACGGAGGGUGCAGGCGUUAUCCGGAUUCACUGGGUUUAAAGGGUGCGUAGGCGGGCAGGUAAGUCAGUGGUGAAAUCUCCGAGCUUAACUCGGAAACUGCCAUUGAUACUAUUUGUCUUGAAUAUUGUGGAGGUAAGCGGAAUAUGUCAUGUAGCGGUGAAAUGCUUAGAUAUGACAUAGAACACCAAUUGCGAAGGCAGCUUACUACACAAUGAUUGACGCUGAGGCACGAAAGCGUGGGGAUCAAACAGG
rnacentral:rRNA from 1 species